UGGAAACUCGAAAGCUCAUGGAUAUUAAACAAAUACAUGUAUAUAUUGAAUGCACUGUAAUAAUAUAAAAGCGUCUGUCAAAUGCGUUUACUUUCGGUUUAGGUUUGUACAACUUGUUUUUUCCAAGACAGUAAAUGCGACACCUUUUUCGUCGCAUUUGUCGACGGACCGCUCAAAUCUGUCACCUCACAAAUAAAGCGGUUCGUCACACACGAUAAUGUAGCCCAAAGGGAAAUGCAUACAUGCGGUGAACCAUCCUUGUCAAACAGCGGCCGCAAAACAUGUUAAAAUGCGACAUGUGAUUCGGUCGAGUGUUUGUAAACAUGCGUCAAAAGCAUGUGAUUCUGCUGACGUAACACUGCGUUCCAGUCAGUCAGCCAAUUAGCAGAAGGGGGUGUGCGAAGUGGGCGGUGCCGCGCUGUGGAAAAUUCUAUGGGUUCGGUAACAAGGUGUGUGUGUGCGAUUUACAAAUGAAUAAAGGAAUUCAAGUCUAUAUCAUCCACCUUACGCCAUCGUCAUGAGCCAGAUAACUCAACGACACGCUUUUCCAGAACUAAUACCAUCCGACAGUUUCCAGUCACAAUACCAUCUAGCAGUGUACCCAGGAUGGAGAGAAACCAUAACACUGUAAAGGUUAAAUGCAGGGAUGCGGCAAACAAGCAGGCGGGAGAAAGUGAGACGGGCAACCAGAUACCUCCAAACAGCAACUGUCGCCAUGCUCGUCUCCGCUCGGCUGGGAAACUCCCACGGGCGCUGUUGUAUCAGUCAGAUAAGGGUUACCAAGCUCCUGGUGCAUGUUUCAUCUCUCUGCCAUAGAGUAAACACGCUGGGCAAACUAAGGAACAGUGUUUAACUAAAACUCUUCAAAUUUAAGGGCGUUACCUGCUGCCACACCCUCGCCGUUGUGUGCUGCCGUCAGGAAUCUCCCUGCCAGAUUUCUCCAUUUCACUUCAUUUUGAUGAGGCUGCAGCUGUGGAGGUGAAAAAUCAGAGAAUUGUAGCUAUGGAGAUUGAUGAUGAUGGCUUAUGCAUAUGAAACUACUUUUUUAUUAUACUCACAGUUUUCCACUAAAUGCCCACAAACACAGGAUGUUUUUCAUUCAUGCCAAAUUUGCAAAUCAGCAUCGUCCUGUGUACAAUUAUUCACUGGCUUUAUGCCCUACGCCACAUUUUGAGAUCAUGAAACCGCAUUAUCUCUUACCCUUCAUAUUUAAAUAGUUUGAAAAGUGUUGCUCAAGUAGCAUAUCCUCCAUUUCACUGAAUGUUUAAAGAGGUCAUGUGGCAGAUUUGCAAGAUUAAAGAUCAAAGGCUCUUCAGAGCUGUCUUUCAAACCAAUAAUUUUGAUGAUCAUCUGGGUAAGAAGUGAAGCUGUGUUGGGUUUCCUGUAGAAUAAGAGUUGUGAGGUUUACUGUGUUUCUAUGCGGUUUGUUUUGUCAAUCUGUCUGCAAGAAUUGAGUUUUGAGUAGCUGCUAUCAAUGAUGACAAAAAUGCUUUGGACUUUAUGGUAAGAAUUAAUGAACCAGCUGUUAUAAAAUCAAGUUUUUAGGUUUUAGCAUCUGACAAGCGCAUGCCAGUGGAUAAGCUGGACUGACUCCUCUUGGAAGCUGGUUUCAGAUGGUGUUUUAGAGUGCUGAUGAAUAAAAUCUAGCACCAUUUGAAAUCAGUGUUCUUAGGGUGGGAAACCCAUCACUUUUAUUAUUGGCAGAAAAACUGUGACAACACUCAUCAUCUACACUGUCGACAAACCUUACAUCAAGAGAAACUUCGAGAUUUGUGUCCUCUUCACAAGGUUGACCGAUUUCUUUUGGUGUUCAGAGUCUUUGGGGGUUUCUAGCACCAUUUGAAAUCGGUUAAAAUGAAGGACAAAUAUCUUCAUUGGAGAACUUCAGCAUCUUGUUUUACUUUCUUAUAUAUUUAUACUUUUUUUACUUUAUUAUAUAAUGCUUUACUAUUUAUUAGUACUAUUAGUAUUUAAUGUGCUAUUUAUUGUACACAAAUUCUAAACCAGCAAUAAUGGCAAAAUUAUGUGAUCAUUAAUUAUUAUUUUUUACGAAGGAGUUCCCCAUAACAAUGAAAUUUGACCUUAGUGCUUAAAGGUUUAAUUAACCCUGCUUGACCGCUAGGGGGCAGGCUUGCUUUUUAAAAGGAAGGUGUUAUUGAAUAAUUCUUACAUCACUUCAACAUUGAUAUUUUUAACAGACUUACAAAUAUAGCUUUCAACCUGACAGCAUAUGAACAAUAUGAUCAUACUAUGUAUAAACAAAAUAUUUUGCAUGCACCAUUCAGGGUUUGUACGGGGUUUGGAAAAGUAUGGAAUUUGAUUUGAGUAAUUUCCAGGUCUGGAAAAGUAUGGAAAAAUAAAUCAUAGUAUGGAAAAAUAUUUAUGUUUCCAGACUAUUGUCCCUAUUUUGUUUUCUAAAUAUAAAACUAAGAAUUUCCAAAUGUAUAUAAUAAAUAUAUAUUAUAAUCGUUUUUUCAUGGCGAUUGGAUCAGUCUGCCAGCACUGCCAAAAGAUGUUUUUUACACUUGAUCUUAUUCGUUUAGAAAGACAUGAGGGUAAGUAAAUGAUGAUAGAAAUUUCAUUUGGGGGUAAAUUAAUAACCCUUUAAAAUAUGUGACCGAUUUAGCAUUUUAUUCGUUAAGGUCACACAAGGCAAUAUUUUAAUAUAGAAUUUCUAAAUAUUUCAUUUAUAAUUA